AGAGUUUGAUCAUGGCUCAGAUUGAACGCUGGCGGCGUGCCUAACACAUGCAAGUCGAGCGGUAACAGGCGUAGCAAUACGUGCUGACGAGCGGCGAACGGGUGAGUAACGCUUCGGAAUCUGCCCAAUGGUGGGGAAUAACCAGCCGAAAGGUUGGCUAAUUCCGCAUGAGCCCUACGGGGGAAAGCGGGGGAUCGCAAGACCUCGCGCCGAUGGAUGAGCCGAAGCCGGAUUAGCUAGUUGGUAGGGUAACGGCCUACCAAGGCGACGAUCCGUAGCUGGUCUGAGAGGACGACCAGCCACACUGGGACUGAGACACGGCCCAGACUCCUACGGGAGGCAGCGGUGGGGAAUAUUGGACAAUGGGGGAAACCCUGAUCCAGCGACGCCGCGUGUGUGAAGAAGGCCUGCGGGUUGUAAAGCACUUUUAGUGGGGAUGAAAAGCUCAGGGCUAACACCUCUGGGUCUUGACCUAACCCACAGAAAAAGCACCGGCUAACUCUGUGCCAGCAGCCGCGGUAAUACAGAGGGUGCAAGCGUUAAUCGGAAUUACUGGGCGUAAAGCGUACGUAGACGGUUGGAUAAGUCGGAUGUGAAAGCCCCGGGCUCAACCUGGGAAUGGCAUUCGAGACUGUUCAGCUAGGGUGCGGAAGAGGGAAGCGGAAUUUCCGGUGUAGCGGUGAAAUGCGUAGAUAUCGGAAGGAACACCAGUGGCGAAAGCGGCUUCCUGGUCCAGCACCGACGUUCAGGUACGAAAGCAUGGGGAGCAAACAGGAUUAGAUACCCCAGUAGUCC
rnacentral:rRNA from 1 species